AACGAACGCUGGCGGCAUGCCUAACACAUGCAAGUCGAACGAGACCUUCGGGUCUAGUGGCGCACGGGUGCGUAACGCGUGGGAACCUGCCCUUAGGUUCGGAAUAACUCCCCGAAAGGGGUGCUAAUACCGGAUAAUGUCUUCGGACCAAAGAUUUAUCGCCUUUGGAUGGGCCCGCGUUGGAUUAGCUAGUUGGUAGGGUAAAAGCCUACCAAGGCGACGAUCCAUAGCUGGUCUGAGAGGAUGAUCAGCCACACUGGGACUGAGACACGGCCCAGACUUCUACGGGAGGCAGCAGUGGGGAAUAUUGGACAAUGGGCGAAAGCCUGAUCCAGCAAUGCCGCGUGAGUGAUGAAGGCCUUAGGGUUGUAAAGCUCUUUUACCCGGGAUGAUAAUGACAGUACCGGGAGAAUAAGCUCCGGCUAACUCCGUG
rnacentral:rRNA from 1 species